rnacentral:rRNA from 1 species
CACGUAGGCGGAUUAGUCAGUCAGAGGUAGAAAUCCCAGGGCUCAACCCUGGAACUGCCUUUGAUACUGCUAGUCUUGAGUUCGAGAGAGGUGAGUGGAAUUCCGAGUGUAGAGGUGAAAUUCGUAGAUAUUCGGAGGAACACCAGUGGCGAAGGCGGCUCACUGGCUCGAUACUGACGCUGAGGUGCGAAAGCGUGGGGAGCAAACA